rnacentral:rRNA from 1 species
UUNGACAUGGGGGCACCUGCAUCAGUCAUGCCGCGUGAGUGAAGAAUGCCUUCGGGUUGUAAAGCUCUUUUGUCAGGGAAGAAACACCGGCUCUAACACAGUCCGGGAAUGACGGUACCUGAAGAAUAAGCACCGGCUAACUACGUGCCAGCAGCCGCGGUAAUACGUAGGGUGCGAGCGUUAAUCGGAAUUACUGGGCGUAAAGCGUGCGCAGGCGGUUAUACAAGACAGGCGUGAAAUCCCCGGGCUUAACCUGGGAAUGGCGCCUGUGACUGUAUAGCUAGAGUGUGUCAGAGGGGGGUAGAAUUCCACGUGUAGCAGUGAAAUGCGUAGAUAUGUGGAGGAAUACCAAUGGCGAAGGCAGCCCCCUGGGAUAACACUGACGCUCAUGCACGAAGGCGUGGGGAGCAAACAGGAUUAGAUACCCUGGUAGUCCACGCCCUAAACGAUGCUGACUAGUUGUUCGGGAUUUACAUCCUGAGUAACGUAGCUAACGCGUGAAGUCAGACGCCUGGGGAGUACGGUCGCAAGAUUAAAACUCAAAGGAAUUGACGGGGACCCGGACAAGCGGUGGAUGAUGUGGAUUAAUUCGAUGCAACGCGA